rnacentral:rRNA from 1 species
UGAGCAACCUGCCCCUGACUCUGGGAUAACCCCGGGGAAACCGGAGCUAAUACCAGAUACGAGACGCACAGGCAUCUGUAGCGUCUGGAAAGAAUUUCGGUCGGGGAUGGGCUCGCGGCCUAUCAGCUUGUUGGUGGGGUAACGCCCACCAAGGCGACGACGGGUAGCCGGCCUGAGAGGGCGACCGGCCACACUGGGACUGAGACACGGCCCAGACCUCCGUACGGGGAGGCA